rnacentral:rRNA from 1 species
UAGAGUUUGAUCAUGGCUCAGGAUGAACGCUAGCGGGAGGCCUAAUACAUGCAAGUCGAGGGGUAACAGGGUCUUCGGACCGCUGACGACCGGCGCACGGGUGAGUAACACGUACACAACCUACCUUUAAGAGGGGGAUAGCCUUUGGAAACGAAGAUUAAUACCCCAUGGUAUUAUGAUCCUGCAUGGGAUUAUAAUUAAAGCUGAGGCGCUUAAAGAUGGGUGUGCGUCCCAUUAGCUAGUUGGUGAGGUAACGGCUCACCAAGGCGAUGAUGGGUAGGGGGCGUGAGAGCGUGGCCCCCCACACGGGUACUGAGACACGGACCCGACUCCUACGGGAGGCAGCAGUAAGGAAUAUUGGACAAUGGGCGCAAGCCUGAUCCAGCCAUCCCGCGUGCAGGAUGACUGCCCUAUGGGUUGUAAACUGCUUUUAUUAGGGAAGAAACCCCUGGAUUUAUCCGGGGCUGCCGGUACCUAAUGAAUAAGCACCGGCUAACUCCGUGCCAGCAGCCGCGGUAAUACGGAGGGUGCAAGCGUUAUCCGGAAUCACUGGGUUUAAAGGGUGCGUAGGCGGCGUCAUAAGUCAGGGGUGAAAGCCCACAGCUCAACUGUGGAAUUGCCUUUGAUACUGUGGUGCUUGAAUCAGUUGAGGUAGCGGAAUGUGGCAUGUACGGUGAAAUGCUUAAUAUGCAUAAACACCGAUUGC